GACGAACGCUGGCGGCGUGCCUAAUACAUGCAGGUCGAGCGGACUGAUUAAGAGCUUGCUCUUAUGACGUCAGCGGCGGACGGGUGAGUAACACGUGGGCAACCUGCCCUGUAGAUCGGGAUAACACCGAGAAAUCGGUGCUAAUACCGGGUAAUAUCUGAGAUCACAUGAUCUUAGGUUAAAAGAUGGCUCCGGCUAUCACUACAGGAUGGGCCCGCGGCGCAUUAGCUAGUUGGUAAGGUAAUGGCUUACCAAGGCGACGAUGCGUAGCCGACCUGAGAGGGUGAUCGGCCACACUGGGACUGAGACACGGCCCAGACUCCUACGGGAGGCAGCAGUAGGGAAUCUUCCGCAAUGGACGAAAGUCUGACGGAGCAACGCCGCGUGAGUGAUGAAGGGUUUCGGCUCGUAAAGCUCUGUUGUUAGGGAAGAAACAGUACCGAACGAACUAGGUCGGUACCUUGACGGUACCUAACCAGAAAGCCACGGCUAACUACGUG
rnacentral:rRNA from 1 species